UACAGAGGGGGCAAGCGUUGUCGGAAUUACUGGGCGUAAAGGGCGCGUAGGCGGCCCUCUAAGUCGAACGUGAAAUCCCCGGGCUCAACCCGGGAACUGCGUCCGAUACUGGAAGGCUUGAAUCCGGGAGAGGGAUGCGGAAUUCCAGGUGUAGCGGUGAAAUGCGUAGAUAUCUGGAGGACACCGGUGGCGAAGGCGGCAUCCUGGCCGGCAUUGACGCUGAGGCGCGAAAGCCAGGGAGCAAAGCGGG
rnacentral:rRNA from 1 species